UACAGAGGGGGCAAGCGUUGUUCGGAAUUACUGGGCGUAAAGGGCGCGUAGGUGGCCUGCUAAGUCGAACGUGAAAUCCCUGGGCUCAACCCAGGAACUGCGUCCGAUACUGGUUGGCUUGAAUCCGGGAGAGGGAUGUGGAAUUCCAGGUGUAGCGGUGAAAUGCGUAGAUAUCUGGAGGAACACCGGUGGCGAAGGCGACAUCCUGGACCGGUAUUGACGCUGAGGCGCGAAAGCCAGGGGAGCAAACGGG
rnacentral:ncRNA from 2 species